UGUAGUGGUUAAGUGCAUGGACUCUUAUCUGGGAGAACCAGGUUUGAUUCCCCACUCUUCCACAUGCAGCUGCUGGAUGACCUUGGGCAAGCCACAGUUCUCUCAGAGCUGUUCUCUCAAGAGCAGUUCU